UCUUUUUCUCAUAAAAAUUAAUGGCCUGUUUUUCAGCACCUAGCUCCCCUGCCUAGGAUUUGCUGCCCUUCCUGCAAGGGACUUAAAUUUUCCACUACACAUACACUUCAAAAGUGUAUCCUAAUAUAAUACCCGAGUGGUCUGUGAGUCAGCUUCUCGCUAUAUGGAUCCUCCUACCCCUCAGCGGGGCUACUGGCCUCACAUUCAGACCUGUUAUUACUGGGGGGUGAACCCCCCCAUCCAUAUUUCUGGGGCUCUCCCUGCUACUGGACCAUAAUAAUGGACGUGUGAC